GGACGUCAGGACGAACGCUGGCGGCGUGCUUAACACAUGCAAGUCGAACGGGGUACUGUACCCAGUGGCAAACGGGUGAGUAAAGCGCAAAUAACCUGCCGCAUUGAUGGGACAACAAAUCGAAAGGUUUGCUAAUACCGAAUGUUGUACGGGAUUCGCAUGGAUUCUGUACUAAAGAUUUAUCGCGAUGCGAGGGGUUUGCGUCUGAUUAGAUAGUUGGCAGAGUAAAAGCCUACCAAGUCGACGAUCAGUAACCGGUCUGAGAGGAUGAACGGUCACAAUGGAACUGAGACACGGUCCAUACUCCUACGGGAGGCAGCAGUGGGGAAUAUUCCACAAUGGGCGAAAGCCUGAUGGAGCGACGCCGCGUGAGUGAAGAAGGGUUUCGACUCGUAAAGCUCUUUUCUGAUAGACGAAUGACCAAUUAGAUUGGUAGAGACGGUAUAUGAGGAAUAAGCCACGGCUAACUACGUGCCAGCAGCUGC
rnacentral:rRNA from 1 species